UUAGAGGAAGUAAAAGUCGUAACAAGGUUUCCGUAGGUGAACCUGCGGAAGGAUCAUUACUGAACUGUCGACACGAGUUGUUGCUGGUCCUUGAAAGGGGUCACGUGCACGCUCUGUUUACACAUCCACUCACACCUGUGCACCCUUGUAGUUCUAUGGCCUGGGGACUCUGUCCUCUUGCCGUGGUCCUACGUCUUUACACACACACCGUAACAAAGUAUCAUGGAAUGUACGCCGCGUCUGACGCAAUACAAUACAACUUUCAGCAACGGAUCUCUUGGCUCUCGCAUCGAUGAAGAACGCAGCGAAAUGCGAUAAGUAAUGUGAAUUGCAGAAUUCAGUGAAUCAUCGAAUCUUUGAACGCACCUUGCGCCCUUUGGCUAUUCCGAAGGGCAUGCCUGUUUGAGUAUCAUGAACACCUCAACUCUCAUGGUUCGCCAUGAUGAGCUUGGACUUUGGGGGUCUUGCUGGCGUAACUGCCAGCUCCUCUCAAAUGGAUCAGCUUCCCAGUGUUUGGUGGCGUCACAGGUGUGAUAACUAUCUACGCUUGUGGUCCUUCCAUCAGGUUACCUUCAGUAAUGGAGGUUCACUGGAGCUCACAGACGUCUCUCCUCAGGGAGGACAAGCUUCUUAACGUUUGAUCUCAAAUCAGGUAGGACUACCCGCUGAACUUAAGCAUAUCAUAA
rnacentral:rRNA from 1 species